rnacentral:lncRNA from 1 species
UCUCUAAGCAAGGGCUGUGGGUGAACUGCCUGUGGUCCUCUAAGGGAUGGUUCUAGAGCGGUGUAGGAUAAUGACAAAGGCUUUUUGCUUCAACUGCUUCAUAUGCCCAUACCUGGGAGGCUGAACUGAUCAACUUCAUGGAAGCCAGAAUUACAGAGCUGGCAGUAGACAAAAUGCAGAGGUUACAUACUUAGUGUCUCUAACAGCAUCAGGACGUGUACCAUAGGAAGUCCCGGACUCACGGCACUGUCAAUACAUGCCAAUUUCUCAUGCCUCUGAGUCAGGGGAUGCUCUGCAAUACCUCCCUCCACCCACCCUGAAAGGAAUGAAGCCUUCACUAUCUCCUCUGUCGAAAGUUACCUGAGUCAAAGCACAAGGAGGGCCUAGUGCCUGGCGCCCCCUGAGAAUCCCUCAAGCUAGCUCUGUGGUGUUUUCCGUCUGUGUUUUGAGAUCCCUCCGUAACACGGUCCCGGUGGUUUUGUCUCACCUCCUUUUAGAAACCUCCCAUGAUUCUUCUAGGGUGAAAAGGAAAUCUAACCAAUCUAUGCAAACACCCCAAGCUACUCUAGCUAUAUACAGGUUCAAGCUACAUUUCUAUAAACCAAACCAACUUAAUAAUGUAAACACUUGCAGGAAACAGAGGUAGCCAAAAACAUGGGGGAAACCAUAAUGAAUAUUCAAGUAAUGGGAACAUAAUAUCACAUCAUCAUGAGGGAAGGGACCUAAACAGUCCCUUUUUCCAGAGCUCCACGCACCUUCCAUCCUAAUGAUGCAUU